rnacentral:rRNA from 1 species
UACGUAGGGACCGAGCGUUGUCCGGAUUCAUUGGGCGUAAAGAGCUCGUAGGCGGCCACUCAAGUCGAAUGUGAAACCUCGAGGCUUAACCUCGAGCCUGCAUUCGAUACUGGGUGGCUAGAGUCUGGUAGGGGGAUCUGGAAUUCCUGGUGUAGCGGUGGAAUGCGCAGAUAUCAGGAGGAACACCGGUGGCGAAGGCGGGUCUCUGGGCCGAAACUGACGCUGAGGAGCGAAAGCGUGGGGAGCAAACAGG